CGGUUGAUCCUGCCGGAGGACAUUGCUAUUGGGGUUCGCCUAAGAAAUGCUAGCUCGCCUACACUGCGUCCGCAGUGGAGGGGCGAACGGCUCAGUGACGCGCUAGACAACCUACCCUCGGGUGGUGGACAACCUCGGGAAACUGAGGCUAAUCCACCACAUGGAAAUACCCCUGGAAUGGGUAUUUCCACAAAUGUCCGCAGCCCGAGGAUGGGUCUGCGGCCGAUCAGGUAGUAGGUGGUGUAACGGACCACCUAGCCUUCGAUCGGUACGGGACGUGGGAGCGUGAGCCCGGAGACGGGUACUGAGACAAGGACCUGGGCCCUAAGGGGCGCAGCAUUCGCGAAAACUCCCCAAUGCGCGCAAGCGUGAGGGGGGAACCCCAAGUGCCAACACAAUGUGUUGGCUUUUCGGGAGUGUGAAAAGCUCCAGGAAUAAGGGCUGGGCAAGACCGGUGCCAGCCGCCGCGGUAACACCGGCAGCCCAAGUGAUGUCCGGUUUUAUUGGGCUUAAAGCGUCCGUAGCCGGUUUGUUAAGUCCCCGGAUAAAUCCGACGGCUUAACCGUCGGUUAUCUGGGGAUACUGACAGGCUUGAGGCCGGGAGAGGUCAGAGGUACUCCUGGGGUAGGGGUAAAAUCCGAUAAUCCUGGGGGGACCACCAGUGGCGAAGGCGUCUGACUGGAACGGGCCUGACGGUGAGGGACGAAACCCUGGGGAGCGAUCCGGAUUAGAUACCCGGGUAGUCCAGGGCGUAAACGAUGUGGGCUGGGUGUGGGCCAAUCAGAAGGAUUGGUCUGUGCCGAAGCGAAAGCGAUAAGCCCACCGCCUGGGGAGUACGGUCGCAAGGCUGAAAUUCUGAGAGUUGACACUAGCUCUCGGAACUGUAAACUUAAAGGAAUUGGCGGGGGAGCAC
rnacentral:rRNA from 1 species